UACGUAGGGUCCAAGCGUUAUCCGGAAUCACUGGGCGUAAAGCGUUCGUAGGCGGGGAUUUAAGGGAGAUGUGAAAGCGUGUGGCUCAACCAUAUCGUUGUGUCUCAUACUGGGUACCUGGAGGAAGGCAGAGGCAAGUGGAAUUGGCAGUGUAGCAGUGAAAUGCGUAGAGAUUGCCAGGAACACCAAUGGCGAAGGCAGCUUGCUGGGCCUUUUCUGACGCUGAGGAACGAAAGCGUGGGGAGCGAACAGG
rnacentral:rRNA from 1 species